rnacentral:rRNA from 1 species
GAUGAACGCUGGCGGCGUGCCUAAUACAUGCAAGUCGAGCGGUAACACUUCGGGUGACGAGCGGCGGACGGCUGAGUAACGCGUGGGAAUGUACCCCAAAGUGAGGGAUAACUGCUCGAAAGAGUAGCUAAUACCGCAUGUGGUCUACGGAUUAAAGCUUCGGCGCUUUGGGAACAGCCUGCGUAAGAUUAGCUUGUUGGUGAGGUAACGGCUCACCAAGGCGACGAUCUUUAGCUGGUCUGAGAGGAUGAUCAGCCAGACUGGGACUGAGAACGGCCCAGACUCCUACGGGAGGCAGCAGUAGGGAAUUUUCCACAAUGGACGAAAGUCUGAUGGAGCAACGCCGCGUGCAGGAUGAAUGCCUUCGGGUUGUAAACUGCUUUUAUAUGUGACGAUUAUGACGGUAGCAUAUGAAUAAGGAUCGGCUAAUUCCGUGCCAGCCGCCGCCGUAA